UUAUGUUUUUCACAUUAAAAAAAUGAAUUACUGCAUCUGUGGGACAAACGAACAGACAGCUGCAAGUCUUUUGGGGUUAUGUGGCCACCAGUUUUUAACUGUUUUGUCUUUUCUGGCACUAUCAGGAUGUCCCUGUAAAUCAGUUUCCUCCAUCCACUCUAACCAACUUUCUCAUCCCUCCUAAAGAAAAAACUCAGACAGAAUGACACUGCCAUGUUUUGUUGCGUUCAGCUUGAUUUCCAUUGUUAAUUCAAAAAGUUCAGUUUGGUCUCCUCUAAACAUGGUGCCUUCCACCAUAUGUUUUUGUGGCUUUCUUUCAAUAAUGUCUUUUGUUUUCCCAGGCUUCUUUUAAAGCCAGAGUCAUGGAGUUUUCCACUAAUAUCUGUCCUCUCAGUCCUUAGCUGUGGAUUUCUGCAGCUCCUCCAGUUCAUUAUCUUGCUUUGAGGCCUUCACAGGACAGCUGUAUUCAUGAGGAAAUUAAAUUACCCACAAUCGGUGUCGCCUAAAUAAUUAGAUGACUUUUUCAAAGCAGUCUGCGGCAUUGGGUAUUAUUUUGAGGUACCAGAGUGUACAUCUGUUUAUAGUUCUGUUUGUUUUUUUAAACAAAAUGCUUAGAAAAUCAUUUUACCCUUUGCAAAAACAUACUGGACUACCACAUAAAAGUUUACAACAUGACAAAAUGCAAAACAUUUCACAGUAUGAAUCCUUUUUGAAAUCACAGCGGCAAUCAGCAAAGGAACAACAUACAUAUUUCUAUUUAUCAAAGUGAUCACAGCUAAAAGAAAAAAAAUAAACAUGUAUAAUUGAGCUGAGUUGAAGCUAGCUGUCACAGCAAUCUUGACCCAAUCUUUGGCUAGAGCCUUGUUUCAGCCCUGACAACGAGCUUCAGCUAAAUACACCCCCUUUUGCCCCUGAGAACGAUACCACUGCCAACAUGGAUGUGUCCGUACAAGUAGCCGCGUAUGAAGAGCCAGUGCAUGUGGUUGCCUGUGUCUGUUUGUGCUUUGACACUUGUUUUUGUUUUAACUCAUGCCAGGGUUAAAAAAACAAAAAGUCUAAAAAGAAUUCAUCUGUCAGUGCAGUGGGAUUUUCAUUCUGUAUCGGGGGUAUGUUUCUAGUUUUUAGAUGAAAGAAGUGCUGUGUGUGUUGUGUGUGUGGGGGCGUGUGUAUGUGUGUGUGCAGAAGAGAGUCUGUGGGAAGAUUGACUCUGAUGCUCUGUUUGCCCGUGUGCAUCUGUGUAUUUUUCUUGCAGGGCGUGUUCCUGGAUUCCACCACACUGGGACAUUACCCCCAGGUGCUCUCUCGCUCUCUUCCUCUCUCUCUUUCGGUCUCUCUUUCUCCUUCCCUCUCUCUCUUUCUGAAAAUACCUCGAGGAUUAGGUGGGCAGCAGCGGUAAGAAGGAGGAGGUGGGGGUGAGGUGGUGAUUGACGGCUGAAAAGCUGGAGAGGUGCUCAGGCAUGCUGCGGUCGGGGCGAAAAGGGGACUGCAUACAUAGGCAGAGGGAGAUUGGGGGGCGCCGGGAGUGGGUGGGGGGCUCAGCUGUUGCCACCCACACCCAUUAUCACCCACCACCUCCUCAGUCAGGUCAGAUUUCAAAUAACUCCUGCUUACCUUUAAAUCAACAGAAGGUUUUAUUCUUUCUCCUCCCUUUCAGGCUUCCUUUCUCUCAAACUAGCAACCUGAUUUGGUUCCAGUGCUGCAACAGUUUUGAACGAGGAUCCACCCUGUCCCAUAAUCCUGCUGUAGAUUUCCGGUUUUAAAGACAAGCAGGUGGUUUCAACAACGAGCGACGUGCAUCCACAUCUUUGGCACUGCAGAGGACAGCAGCACCCCCUGUGGCCACAAUGACAACUACAAGAGACAUCAGAGGAGCCUAAAAAAUGUGCUUUGAAUACGGCCUCCUGAUCACCUUUGCCUCUUCAAAUAGGUUUGUGGUAAACUCUGCCUGAAUAAAGAACUGCAAUAUGGCUCAUUUUCAAA